rnacentral:rRNA from 1 species
CCUAUGGGUGGCAGCAGUGAGGAAUAUUGGUCAAUGGGCGCGAGCCUGAACCAGCCAAGUCGCGUGAAGGAUGACUGCCCUACGGGUUGUAAACUUCUUUUAUAAAGGAAUAAAGUGAGGCACGUGUGCCUUUUUGCAUGUACUUUAUGAAUAAGGAUCGGCUAACUCCGUGCCAGCAGCCGCGGUAAUACGGAGGAUCCGAGCGUUAUCCGGAUUUAUUGGGUUUAAAGGGAGCGUAGAUGGUUUGUUAAGUCAGUUGUGAAAGUUUGGGGCUCAACCGUAAAAUUGCAAUUGAUACUGGCAGUCUUGAGUACAGUUGAGGGAGGCGGAAUUCGUGGUGUAGCGGUGAAAUGCUUAGAUAAAACGAAGAAAUCCGAUUGCGAAGGCAGCUUACUAAACUGCCAAUGACAUUGAUGCUCGAAAGUGUGGGUAGCAAACAGGAUUAGAUACCCUUGUAGUC